UUUCUCUAGACUGAAAGCUGGGAUAAAAGAAUGAGUGAAUAACUGGAUCCUUUUCAUCCCUGAACACUUCAAGUGUACAAAGGCAAAGAAGUUUCUCCCUGUGGUGCCCUUGAGCAGCCCGGAGCUCUUCUCAAAUGAUAUAAGAGGAAUCUUCAUGCAAGUUUUCCAAUAUGAAUCUGUUUAUGGCCCCUUGGUUAAUAGAUGCAAGAUGGGACCCCCAGAGUAAGAAGAAAGAAUUCUGUGCAUCUUGGCCAGCUGCUGUUUCUCACCAGUUCCCACACUCAUCCACUUGUUCUCUUGUCAGAUACCCUGAAUGUGCUCACCUCCUGACACCGACUGAAUUGCACAAAGACUGAAUGGGUCUUACCUUGAAGAACCAAACCAGAUUUCUCAAUGGUGUAGAGGAAAGCUGAGAAUGGAGCAACAGGGGACUUAGCGACCAGGAUCUGC